rnacentral:rRNA from 1 species
UAUCUCUGUAGAGUCUGCAUAUCAAUAAGCGGAGGAAAAGAAACUAACAAGGAUUCCCUUAGUAACGGCGAGUGAAGCGGGAAGAGCUCAAAUUUGAAAUCUUCAAGGUUCUACCUUGACGAAUUGUAGUUUAAAGAAAUGUUUUCUGUUAGAUUUGAGUAGCAAAGUUCCUUGGAAUAGGACAUCAUAGAGGGUGAGAAUCCCGUAUUUGACUAUUCAUUUCCAGCUUUGUGAUACACUUUCAAAGAGUCGGAUUGUUUGGGAAUGCAGUCCAAAAUGGGUGGUAAAUUUCAUCUAAAGCUAAAUACUGGCGAGAGACCGAUAGCGAACAAGUACCGUGAGGGAAAGAUGAAAAGAACUUUGAAAAGAGAGUUAAACAGUACGUGAAAUUGUCAAAAGGGAAGCGUUUGACACCAGUGUUGUUUUCUCGAAAAUCAAUUAAGAAUGGCAUGAUUUUGUGUUGUAUUGACCUUAUCAGCUUUCUUCACUCUUUUCAUGUCUUUUUUAAUGCACUUUUCGGUUAACAAGUCAACAUCAAUUUCUUUUGUUGUAAAAGAGUCAUUCGGAAGGUGGCUUUCUUUUCGGAGAAAGUGUUUAUAGCCUUAUGCCUCUACAAUCGGAGAGAUUGAGGUCUGCAGCGUAGAUCCUUCGGGGUUAGAUACACUUUGUGCUAAGUUAGUAGCCUUUCAUAGACAACUUGUUGACUAUGAUCAGUCAUGUAGCUUACUCGCUUAUGCUAUUUUACCUACGCUUAGGAUGUUGAUAGUCACAGCGUGUAC